AAGCGGAGGAAAAGAAACCAACAGGGAUUGCCCUAGUAACGGCGAGUGAAGCGGCAACAGCUCAAAUUUGAAAGCUGGCCUUCGGGUCCGCAUUGUAAUUUGUAGAGGAUGCUUUGAGGCAGCCGCCUGUCUAAGUUCCUUGGAACAGGACGUCAUAGAGGGUGAGAAUCCCGUAUGUGACAGGACGUGGCACCUUAUGUAAAGCUCCUUCGACGAGUCGAGUUGUUUGGGAAUGCAGCUCUAAAUGGGAGGUAAAUUUCUUCUAAAGCUAAAUACCGGCGAGAGACCGAUAGCGCACAAGUAGAGUGAUCGAAAGAUGAAAAGCACUUUGGAAAGAGAGUUAAAAAGCACGUGAAAUUGUUGAAAGGGAAGCGCUUGCAAUCAGACUUGUUCAAACCGUUCGGCCGGUCUUCUGACCGGUUUACUCGGUUUGGACAGGCCAGCAUCAGUUUUGGCGGCCGGAUAAAGGCCCUGGGAAUGUGGCUUCCACUUCGGUGGAAGUGUUAUAGCCCAGGGUGUAAUACGGCCAGCCGGGACUGAGGUCCGCGCUUCGGCUAGGAUGCUGGCGUAAUGGUUGUAAGCGACCCGUCUUG
rnacentral:rRNA from 1 species